UUACGGCCAUAUCAAAUUAAAACACCUCUUCCUGUAAGAUCACUGAAGUUAAGCAAUGUCAGGCUUGGUCAGUAUCUAGUUGGGUGACUGCUUGUGAAUGCCAAAUACUGU